GUAGGAACUUACCCUCAAGUCAAGGAUACCGUCUCGAAAGGGACGUUAAUCCUGGAUACGGUCUUCGGAUUAAAGGCUUCGGCCGCUUGAGGAUAGGCCUGCGUCCUGUCAGGUUGUUGGUGAGGUAAUGGCUCACCAAGCCUAUGACGGGUAACUGGUCUGAGAGGAUGAUCAGUCAGAAUGGAACUGCGAUACGGUCCAUACUCCUACGGGAGGCAGCAAUUAGGAAUCUUGCACAAUGGACGAAAGUCUGAUGCAGCGACGCCGCGUGGAGGACGACGGCUUUCGGGUUGUAAACUCCUUUUAUGUGGGAACAAGUUCUGAGUGUACCACAUGAAUAAGGCCCCCCUAACUACGUGCCAGAAGGGUCGGUGAUGCGUAGGGGCCAAACGUUAUCCGGAAUUACUGGGCGUAAAGAGAUGCGUAGGCGACUUGUAAGUCAUAUGUGAAAGCCCGAUGCUCAACAUCGGAAUUGCAUCUGAAACUAUCAGGAUUGAGUCAGACAGGGGAAGGCGGAAUUCCAGGUGUAGCGGUGAAAUGCGUUGAUAUCUGGAGGAACACCGAUGGCGAAGGCAGCCUUCUGGGUCUAGACUGACGCUAAGGCUCGAAAGCGUGGGGAGCAAAACGGAUUAGAUACCCGUGUAGUCCACGCCGUAAACGAUCCCAACUAGAUGUAUGAUAUGGAUCUCCAGUCAGGCUUCGGUCUUUCUGGGUUCAUGUUGUGUGUCGCAGCAAACGCGUUAAGUUGGGCGCCUGGGGAGUACGAGCGCAAGCUUAAAACUCAAAGGAAUUGACGGA
rnacentral:rRNA from 1 species